UAGCAGAACAGAUUGCACGACGAGAGA
rnacentral:sRNA from 1 species